AAAGAUUUAUCGGAGAAGGAUCAGCCCGCGUAAGAUUAGAUAGUUGGUGGGGUAAUGGCCUACCAAGUCUACGAUCUUUAGCUGGUUUUAGAGGAUGAUCAGCAACACUGGGACUGAGACACGGCCCAGACUCCUACGGGAGGCAGCAGUGGGGAAUCUUAGACAAUGGGCGCAAGCCUGAUCUAGCCAUGCCGCGUGUGUGAUGAAGGCCUUAGGGUCGUAAAGCACUUUCGCCAGGGAUGAUAAUGACAGUACCUGGUAAAGAAACCCCGGCUAACUCCGUGCCAGCAGCCGCGGUAAUACGGAGGGGGUUAGCGUUGUUCGGAAUUACUGGGCGUAAAGCGCACGUAGGCGGAUCAGAAAGUUGGGGGUGAAAUCCCAG
rnacentral:rRNA from 1 species